rnacentral:lncRNA from 1 species
CUCCCGCUCUUAAAGCGCACACUUCCUGCAGGCGCCGCCCCACGCGCCCCCCGCCCGAAUCAGAGCUUGGGGUUUGGGGCUUGGGACCGGGACCCAGAGCCAAGCUUCAGCUUUUGGUGAAGUUAAGUCCCAAGUGACCAGAUGAAAAAUGGCUCGCGAAGCAACAUGUGAAUUCCGGCAAGGAGAAUGGCGUUCAAGGGGUUAAAGAAGAGCUUGGUUGCCCAGAGUCUGCAGUGAGGUCCCAGGGUUUGAACUCAGGUUGUCAGGUUUACAUGGCAAGCUGAGUCAUCUUACCUAUCACCAGCAUUUUCAUGUCACAGAAGAUGAACUUCACAGAAAAAUCACAGCAAUCAACAGCUGACUCAAAACAUGAGUCACAAAAAUUAAGAAUGGAGAGAGCGCGGAGCGCUGUAUUUACAGAAAGGGUAAGCACAAGUGGCCUGGGCACCGGAGGAUCACGAUGGCUCUUCAGUUAGCUGUCAGCGCGCAAUAUAAAUCCUUGCUAUGUGAGCAAGUUGGAUCCAAUUCUUCAUCAAAGGUACUGUGCUCAUGGAGGCUGGAGGCUGUCAUAUGCUCCGCGUCAUAUGAAUCCGCAUCCGCAGUCCAAAGGCCAGAGGAAAGGGGAUCAGCAGGGACAGAAGACAAACCUUCAGAAAUGCUGUGCAGAAAAGGCCGCC